AAGACUAUAGACCUGCGGAGUACCUGCGGAAGGAUCAUUAGUGAACGCCCUCACGGGCUUAUAACUAUUCCAAACCUCUGUGAACCGUGCCCUUCGGGGCUAUUUUACGAACAUGGUGUAAUGAACGUCAUAUAUCAUAACAAAACAAAACUUUCAACAAUGGAUCUCU
rnacentral:misc_RNA from 1 species